UGGACCCAUUGUGAUGAUGAUUGGUGGCGUAUGAGUCUUGGAUGAUGAAUGAUACAUGUCUGGAAGUCUGAGGUCAGA